UUGGGGACUUUACUUUAGCUAAAAAUAAAUAAAAAAAAACAAAAAAAAUUAAUUUUAAUUAAUUUUUUUAUUUAUAAACUUAAAAAAAUUCAACCGAAAAACUGAUAUUGAAUCUCUAGAGUCCAAAAACUAGACUGCGGAUGAGUUGUGUCAUUUCCAUUUUUCGGUGGCUGUCUUUUCUAGUCGCACCACAGACAGGUUGUUU
rnacentral:lncRNA from 1 species